rnacentral:rRNA from 1 species
UGCAAGUCGAACGCGAAAGCUACCUUCGGGUGGUGAUUAGAGUGGCAGACGGGUGAGUAACAAAUAGGUAAUCUAUCUUUGAGAGUGGGACAACUAAUCGAAAGGUCAGCUAAUCCGGCAUAACAUCUAUUAUUGUAAGGUAUUAGAUCAAAGGGUGGGAUCUUUCGGGACCACUCGCUUAAAGAGGAGCCUAUUUCCUAUUAGUUAGUUGGUGGGGUAAUGGCCUACCAAGACGAUGAUGGGUAGCCGAGCUGAGAGGCUGACCGGCCACACUGGAACUGAAACACGGUCCAGACUCCUACGGGAGGCAGCAGUGGGGAAUUUUGCGCAAUGGGCGAAAGCCUGACGCAGCGACGCCGCGUGAGGGAUGAAGGUUCUCGUGAUUGUAAACCUCUGUCAGGAAGGAUUAAAUGAUUAUAUAUUAAUAGUAUAUAGUCUUGACUUAACUUCCAAAGGAAGCCCCGGCUAACUACGUGCCAGCAGCCGCGGUAAUACGUAGGGGGCAAGCGUUACUCGGAUUUACUGGGCGUAAAGCGAAUGUAGGCUGUUAUGUAAGUCAGUGGUGAAAUCCCUCAGCUCAACUGAGGAACUGCCUUUGAUACUGCAUGACUUGAGGACAGGAGAGGAAAGUGGAAUUCCCGGUGUAGCGGUGGAAUGCGUAGAUAUCGGGAGGAACACCAGAGGCGAAGGCGGCUUUCUGGACUGGUCCUGAC